rnacentral:rRNA from 1 species
UUAAAUUGAAGAGUUUGAUCAUGGCUCAGAUUGAACGCUGGCGGCAGGCCUAACACAUGCAAGUCGAACGGUAACAGGAAGCAGCUUGCUGCUUUGCUGACGAGUGGCGGACGGGUGAGUAAUGUCUGGGAAACUGCCUGAUGGAGGGGGAUAACUACUGGAAACGGUGGCUAAUACCGCAUAACGUCGCAAGACCAAAGAGGGGGACCUUCGGGCCUCUUGCCAUCAGAUGUGCCCAGAUGGGAUUAGCUUGUUGGUGAGGUAACGGCUCACCAAGGCGACGAUCCCUAGCUGGUCUGAGAGGAUGACCAGCCACACUGGAACUGAGACACGGUCCAGACUCCUACGGGAGGCAGCAGUGGGGAAUAUUGCACAAUGGGCGCAAGCCUGAUGCAGCCAUGCCGCGUGUAUGAAGAAGGCCUUCGGGUUGUAAAGUACUUUCAGCGGGGAGGAAGGUGUUGCGGUUAAUAACCGCAGCAAUUGACGUUACCCGCAGAAGAAGCACCGGCUAACUCCGUGCCAGCAGCCGCGGUAAUACGGAGGGUGCAAGCGUUAAUCGGAAUUACUGGGCGUAAAGCGCACGCAGGCGGUCUGUCAAGUCGGAUGUGAAAUCCCCGGGCUCAACCUGGGAACUGCAUUCGAAACUGGCAGGCUUGAGUCUUGUAGAGGGGGGUAGAAUUCCAGGUGUAGCGGUGAAAUGCGUAGAGAUCUGGAGGAAUACCGGUGGCGAAGGCGGCCCCCUGGACAAAGACUGACGCUCAGGUGCGAAAGCGUGGGGAGCAAACAGGAUUAGAUACCCUGGUAGUCCACGCCGUAAACGAUGUCUACUUGGAGGUUGUGCCCUUGAGGCGUGGCUUCCGGAGCUAACGCGUUAAGUAGACCGCCUGGGGAGUACGGCCGCAAGGUUAAAACUCAAAUGAAUUGACGGGGGCCCGCACAAGCGGUGGAGCAUGUGGUUUAAUUCGAUGCAACGCGAAGAACCUUACCUGGUCUUGACAUCCACAGAACUUUCCAGAGAUGGAUUGGUGCCUUCGGGAACUGUGAGACAGGUGCUGCAUGGCUGUCGUCAGCUCGUGUUGUGAAAUGUUGGGUUAAGUCCCGCAACGAGCGCAACCCUUAUCCUUUGUUGCCAGCGAUUAGGUCGGGAACUCAAAGGAGACUGCCAGUGAUAAACUGGAGGAAGGUGGGGAUGACGUCAAGUCAUCAUGGCCCUUACGACCAGGGCUACACACGUGCUACAAUGGCGCAUACAAAGAGAAGCGACCUCGCGAGAGCAAGCGGACCUCAUAAAGUGCGUCGUAGUCCGGAUUGGAGUCUGCAACUCGACUCCAUGAAGUCGGAAUCGCUAGUAAUCGUGGAUCAGAAUGCCACGGUGAAUACGUUCCCGGGCCUUGUACACACCGCCCGUCACACCAUGGGAGUGGGUUGCAAAAGAAGUAGGUAGCUUAACCUUCGGGAGGGCGCUUACCACUUUGUGAUUCAUGACUGGGGUGAAGUCGUAACAAGGUAACCGUAGGGGAACCUGCGGUUGGAUCACCUCCUUACCUUAAAGAA